AAAGAAUUGCCAGAUCCUUGUCUGGAUGAGCUUGUAUAGACAAAGCUUUCUCAAUUGAGAGUACCUUGAAGAGAAAAGGAAGCUGGGUACCCCAUUUGGCAAGAACAGUUUCUCCAAGUACACUAGGGUUCUUCUGAAUCCAAUCUUUCAAAGAACACUUGUCUCUAAUUCCUCCGCCAUUAGCAUGUCCAUUCUGAAUUCUUCCUCCUCGUUCCACCACAAUGUAGGAUGGUCCAGAGUCAUGAGUUCCCAUCCAAAACUCGGCAUAUGGCUGUUUUUCAUCAAUUUUCGUCCGAGAAUUGAGCCUAUACAGACGUCCAACACAAGACUCCUUCGCCGUACGGCCCCAAUCGUAAUUCUUAACAGAACCAAUUAACCUGAGUAACCCCUUAAAACCUUCCUCCAUCUCCAU
rnacentral:misc_RNA from 1 species